rnacentral:snRNA from 1 species
AUCGCUUCUCGGCCUUUUGGCUAAGAUCAAGUGUAGUAUCUGUUCUUAUCAGUUUAAUAUCUGAUACGUCCCCUAUCUGGGACCAUAUAUUAAAUGGAUUUUGGAACAGGGAGAUGGAAGAAGAGCUUGCUCUGCCACUCCACGCAUCGACCUGGUAUUGCAGUACCUCCAGGACCGGUGCACCUCUU